UCAUAUUGGACCGUUUUCCCUUUACUCAGAUGAAUGUAUUCAUUGUUUAACAACCAUUGCUUUUAUAAUGGUUGUGUGUGUGAUGACGUUUCUUUGGGCCAUUGUGCAUCGCCUGACCUGCGAUUCCGACCGUGGCCACCUCACCUCACAGCCCAGCACUGAUCCUGGGCGGUUGAGCUGCGUCCCAAUCCCAUACUACAUACUAAUUGUAAGCAGGUUUUCAUUAUGUAGUGUGUUCACAGUGGAAAGGCUAUUAAAUAAAGUAUAUUCAAAACAGUCAGCAUGCAUAUUAAAAUCCCUGGAUUUUUGAGUGUGCUUUUGAUGUGCACUUUUCUCCAAGAAGUCAGUGCUCAAAGGAAAUGGAGGAGCUGUUCAGAGCUAAAAAAAAAAAAAUCCAAAGUAAUUCUUGAUGAUGAAACAGCUUCAGAAAGACUUAAAGACAAGAAGACAGAAAACAAAAAUAUAAUCUGAAGUUGCAUUCAUAUUGACAUUAAAAGUCCUAAUAAUUUCUUAUAUAAUAAAAAACAAAAGCAGUUUAAAAUAACUAUAAAAAAAAAAUAGUACAGAGUAUAUAUACUGUACAUGGUACAUGGAAUUGGGACACAGCUUUGGCGUCAGGCCUGUCCAGGGUGUACCCUGUCUCACACGUAGUGCAUGCUGGGAUAGGCACCCUCCAAAGGAUAACAGGGUGUAGAUGAUGGAUGGACUGUACAGUUUAUAAUCUGGUUGCCUCAAAAACAACAUUUUAAUGAUGAUUAUCAGCAAUAUAUUAAUAUGUCACAUGCAUAUGUGUGCAUGUGAUCAAAUCUAAAAGCAAGUCGGCUCAGAUCCACUUAGGCAAUACAACGGGUGCCUACACAACACAAUAUAAUUUGGACCCAGUUCAGUUAAUAGAAACUGUCUGGAACUGUGAAGACCUCUAGUGCUUUGUUCUCUAGUGUUCUCUUGCACAUUUUAGCUGCAAAAUCUCUGAAAGUCCUUAAGGAGUGUUGAUAGCAGGCAGUCAGCAGAAGAAUGAACAACUGUAGAGAAGCUCUGACUACUGUUUCAACAAAGAAUCAGACUUUAAUGGAGAAAAAGAGGUUAAUUGAAUCUGGUGGGAGCAGUGGCUUAGUGUGCAGGUGUGUGUUCAUGGCUGUAACGGCACGCUUGAUGUCUCAGAAGAGCUAUUCAGCUGCAAACCAAGAAAAUUUAAAUGCUCCUCCGUGAGAAAAAAUGUUCUUCACUGCCAUUUUACUAAGGUCUGCUCCUCACAGACAGCUUUCUACAGGUAAACACAUGUUGGCAGGCUAAUUAGCAUCGCCCGGCUAACAGAGAAACCUGUGUUCUGGGUGACAGGCUACCCAUCUACACCAAUACCCAUAUGAAGCACUUAAUAAUGCAGUCAGACUUUUCAGUCACUAAACUCUAUUCCCUCAUCAGGAGGGCUAACUCUGGAUCAGUAUUCUGGUACGGCACAGACCUCAAGAAAGUUUUUUUUUUUUUUGACUUAAUCUGAAUAUUUUAAAAAUGAAUCUAAAAUGUCCGCCAUCAGUACCUUGGCUGAAGUGUAGCCCUCAAAAAAUGAAAACACGUAUAGCCACUUUCAAACUUGUUUUGCCGGUGUUGGGAGAAGUUAAAAAACACCUCUGAGUUAAAUUCUGCUGACAGAUUUACUGUAUUUUGAAAAAAAAAAAAUCUGUUUAGCACUUAAUACACAGAUGUACUGUGGCUACAUUUAACUGUCAAUGAAAACUACCUUGUUAGCAGAGAGGGCUAUAAUGUAGAUGAGGCGGGUAUAGAAACCAAUACAUGUCAUAGAGAUGGAGGCGACAGUAAUCCUGUAGAGUAGGUCUUUGUAACGGGGAUAGAGCUAAUCAUGUCCUGUGUCAGUUAACAAGGUCAGAAGGGACAGCCAGGGUGGAAUUCUUCAUUUCAGUGUCCGUUUUUCCUCUAUGAUAAUGAAUAUCCUCAACACAACCUUUACAUCUCGCCAGCUCUCUGCUGCUCCCAGACAUAUAUUAAUACAUGCAAUGCAAACAUUUUCUUUCCGUAUUAGAUUUAAAUCUCUGGCUUAAUAUCAGUCAAUAUCAAUUUGUGGCUGAACAUUUGGCACUCCUUCAAAAUGAGAUUCUCUCCAUUCGGGAAUGCAAAUUGGUGCAAGUCAAAGAGCUGCAGCAGUUCCUGUGUUGCCCAUCUGUCCCCAUGUCCUCUUCCAAUCAGGCAGCAGCUGGCGAGGUCCCAUCUGUAUCUGUUCUAGUGGUUUUCUGUUUCAAUGUUUUUACGCUACACACUACAAUAAAGUGUUCCCCUUGUUGAUAUACCCCUCCCCACCUGACAAUAAUUAUCAAAUCUUUAAAUAUUAUCAUGUUAAGAGUAUACUUUAUGCAAAUAUAUGAGUAUGAUGAGUGUAUUGUAUGUAUCCGCAGUGAAAUAUUUUUAAAAUAAAAUUAUUUGUUUCUGUCA